CAGGUACACGUUGCAAAGAUAAAUGUAUUAGGACGUGGCAAGGUAUACUAAAUGUGACCAAUCAACGAACAAAUUCGAAAAAGAAAUGUUCCAAGAAACACAGAAGGAACUGCUGGAAAUGGUUAUCUUUAUGUGAGGAAUUAAAGAAUGACACAUCGGAAAUAUACUCAGAUCAUAAAGUUUCCAAAAUAAAGGAAAUCCACAGAAAUCAACCAAUAAGACUGAUUGCUAAUUCAUCAUGGGUCGGUAAACGAAACACCGAUAAUCAGGAUGCUGAUGUCGAGGUGAUCCUUCCAGCUGAGCUAUCUGAGAGAGCUGAAGAGCAACAGAAUGACCUUUCAAGGCUCAUUUUCGCCGUAUUUAAUGACAGCGAACUA